GUCCCUCAGUGACCUGUGGCAACUUAUAAACCUGUGAGAUUAACACAUCUGUUACUCACAGUCGUCCUUCACAGCAACACAGUCCACAGGGACAAUGACUUUAAUCACCAUCUUCAUCUGGACGCUCAUCCUCUACAUCCAAGAAUCCAGAGGCCAGAUUACUGUGACUCAGACACCUGCAGUAAAAGCUGUUACUGUAGGAGAAACUGUGAUCAUGAGCUGCAAAACCAGCAGCCCUAUAUCAGGAUGCAGCAAUUGUGUGUCGUGGUACCAACAGAGGACUGGAGAGCCUCCUAAACUCCUCAUCUAUAGAAUAAGCAGCCGUCAGGCUGGGACUCCAGGACGAUUCACUGGAGGUGGAUCUAGCUACGGGUCUGACUUCACUCUGACCAUCAGUGGAGUCCAGGCUGAAGAUGCAGGAAAUUAUUACUGUCAGAGUUACCACUAUAUCAGUAGUAAAGAUGUGUGGACUUUCGGCAGCGGGACCAGACUGGAUGUUGGCAGUAACACAGCCCCCACCCUGACGGUCCUGCCCCCCUCCAGUGUGGAGGUGUCCAGCAAGAACACGGCCACCCUGAUGUGCCUGGCCAACAGGGGCUUCCCCUCCGACUGGAAGCUGAGCUGGAAGGUGGACGGUAAAAGCAAAGUGGUGGAGACGAGCCGCGGCCUCCUGGAGAAGGACGGCCUGUACAGCUGGAGCAGCAGCCUGAGCCUCACUGCGGAGGAGUGGAAGAAGGCGGGCUCAGUGGUCUGUGAGGCCAAUCAGGGCUCCCAGGCUACUGUCACUCAAACGCUGAAGAGGGCCGACUGUUCAGAGUAGAUGAGCUCACUGAUGAGAUUACUGUGUUUUUACUGUGCUGUGCUACACUCUUCCAUAAACUACUUUUUUAAUGCAGAUACUAAACGUUUUAUUAGCAUCCUUUUCAUUCAUAAUGUAGCUUCUGUUUUUGAUUAGAUUGCAUCCAUGUUAUGUUUCGUAUUGUGCUCAAGUGAUGAAUUAAAUGCAUUUAAGAACAAUAAAAACAUUUCCAGAGAA